rnacentral:rRNA from 1 species
CCUACGGGAGGCAGCAGUGGGGAAUAUUGCACAAUGGGGGAAACCCUGAUGCAGCGACGCCGCGUGAGUGAAGAAGUAUUUCGGUAUGUAAAGCUCUAUCAGCAGGGAAGAAAAUGACGGUACCUGAAUAAGAAGCUCCGGCUAACUACGUGCCAGCAGCCGCGGUAAUACGUAGGGGGCAAGCGUUAUCCGGAUUUACUGGGUGUAAAGGGAGCGUAGACGGCAGCACAAGUCUGGAGUGAAAUGCCGGGGCUUAACCCCGGAACUGCAUUGGAAACUGUGCAGCUAGAGUGCAGGAGAGGUGAGUGGAAUUCCUAGUGUAGCGGUGAAAUGCGUAGAGAUUAGGAGGAACACCAGUGGCGAAGGCGGCUUACUGGACUGUAACUGACGUUGAGGCUCGAAAGCGUGGGGAGCAAACAGGAUUAGAUACCCUGGUAGUC